CGGAGGGUGCAAGCGUUAUCCGGAUUCACUGGGUUUAAAGGGUGCGUAGGUGGGUUGGUAAGUCAGUGGUGAAAUCUCCAGGCUUAACUUGGAAACUGCCAUUGAUACUAUCAAUCUUGAAUACCGUGGAGAUCAGCGGAAUAUGUCAUGUAGCGGUGAAAUGCUUAGAUAUGACAUAGAACAUCAAUUGCGAAGGUAGCUGGUUACACGAAUAUUGACACUGAUGCACGAAAGCGUGGGGAUCAAACAGGAUUAGAUACCCUGGUAGUCCACGCCCUAAACGAUGGAUACUCGACAUACGCGAUAUACUGUGUGUGUCUGAGCGAAAGCAUUAAGUAUCCCACCUGGGAAGUACGAUCGCAAGAUUG
rnacentral:rRNA from 1 species